rnacentral:rRNA from 1 species
AUUGAACGCUGGCGGCAGGCCUAACACAUGCAAGUCGAGCGGAUGAAGGGAGCUUGCUCCUGGAUUCAGCGGCGGACGGGUGAGUAAUGCCUAGGAAUCUGCCUGGUAGUGGGGGAUAACGUCCGGAAACGGGCGCUAAUACCGCAUACGUCCUGAGGGAGAAAGUGGGGGAUCUUCGGACCUCACGCUAUCAGAUGAGCCUAGGUCGGUUUAGCUAGUUGGUGGGGUAAAGGCCUACCAAGGCGACGAUCCGUAACUGGUCUGAGAGGAUGAUCAGUCACACUGGAACUGAGACACGGUCCAGACUCCUACGGGAGGCAGCAGUGGGGAAUAUUGGACAGUGGGCGAAAGCCUGAUCCAGCCGUGCCGCGUGUGUGAAGAAGGUCUUCGGAUUGUAAAGCACUUUAAGUUGGGAGGAAGGGCAGUAAGUUAAUACCUUGCUGUUUUGACGUUACCAACAGAAUAAGCACCGGCUAACUUCGUG